GGCUCAACCUGGGAACUGCAUCUGAUACUGGCAAGCUUGAGUCUCGUAGAGGGGGGUAGAAUUCCAGGUGUAGCGGUGAAAUGCGUAGAGAUCUGGAGGAAUACCGGUGGCGAAGGCGGCCCCCUGGACGAAGACUGACGCUCAGGUGCGAAAGCGUGGGGAGCAAACAGGAUUAGAUACC
rnacentral:rRNA from 1 species